GGUUGUCGUCAGCUCGUGUCGUGAGAUGUUGGGUUAAGUCCCGCAACGAGCGCAACCCCUAUUGUUAGUUGCCAUCAUUCAGUUGGGCACUCUAGCGAGACUGCCGGUAAUAAACCGGAGGAAGGUGGGGAUGACGUCAAAUCAUCAUGCCCCUUAUGACCUGGGCUACACACGUGCUACAAUGGUUGGUACAACGAGUUGCGAGUCGGUGACGGCGAGCUAAUCUCUUAAAGCCAAUCUCAGUUCGGAUUGUAGGCUGCAACUCGCUUACAUGAAGUCGGAAUCGCUAGUAAUCGCGGAUCAGCACGCCGCGGUGAAUACGUUCCCGGGCCUU
rnacentral:rRNA from 1 species